rnacentral:rRNA from 1 species
AUUGAACGCUGGCGGCAUGCUUUACACAUGCAAGUCGAACGGCAGCGGGGAGGAGCUUGCUUCUCUGCCGGCGAGUGGCGCACGGGUGAGUAAUACAUCGGAACGUGUCGAGAAGAGGGGGAUAACCACCCGAAAGGGUGGCUAAUACCGCAUAAAUUCUGAGGAAGAAAGCUGGGGACCUAGGAAUAGGCCUAGCGCUUUUUGAGCGGCCGAUGUCGGAUUAGCUAGUUGGUGAGGUAAAGGCUCACCAAGGCGAAGAUCUGUAGCGGGUCUGAGAGGAUGAUCCGCCACACUGGGACUGAGACACGGCCCAGACUCCUACGGGAGGCAGCAGUGGGGAAUUUUGGACAAUGGGGGCAACCCUGAUCCAGCCAUGCCGCGUGUAUGAAGAAGGCCUUAGGGUUGUAAAGUACUUUUGUUAGGGAAGAAAAGUCAGCUGUGAAUAAUGGCUGAUACUGACGGUACCUAAAGAAUAAGCACCGGCUAACUACGUG